rnacentral:rRNA from 1 species
UACGUAGGGGGCGAGCGUUGUCCGGAAUUAUUGGGCGUAAAGGGUUCGUAGGCGGUAAUACAUGUCAGAUGUGAAAUCUUGUGGCUUAACCACAUCAAGCAUCUGAAACUGUAUAACUUGAGUGGAGGAGAGGUAAGUGGAAUUCCUAGUGUAGCGGUGAAAUGCGUAGAUAUUAGGAAGAAUACCAGUAGCGAAGGCGACUUACUGGCCUCUAACUGACGCUGAUGAACGAAAGCGUGGGUAGCAAACAGGAUUAGAUACCCGUGUA